UUACUCAGUUUCAAAGAUUAUAGAGUCUAUAAUCUUUGCUCAGUUUAAAUUAGUUUUUGGGAUGACUUCUGUUGUGUUCAAUUGGAAACGAGAUCUAAAAGUGUUCAGAAUGCUAAAACUCACGAUUAAUAUUCGCUUGAAACUUGAAAAAACUCAAAUGAAUCGGGGAAUCCCACCUUUAAGUAUCUAGAUUUUCGGUUUCUGAGAAAUAUGGAUCUAGUGAAGGGACAGAUUACCUUUACCUGGGCACCCGAAGAAAUUAAAAGGGUUGAAACUGUCUGAAAAGACCUCUUUCGAUUUUAACUGUCCUCUGAGUUUUUGUGUUUCUCAAAUCAUCGUUGUCCCCAUCAACAUCAGUUUGCAGUCACGCAAAAUUGGUAAAUUUCAGAAUAUUGUUACAACGAUGGUUGUAACAUGUUGCUAAAGGAUGCUCCAAUGAGCAAAACAAAAAUGAGACAAAGAGUUUCCACAGGUUUCCUUUUAAACGCCCAGAUAUUUUGGAACUUUGGAUUA